rnacentral:rRNA from 1 species
CGGCUUGAUAAGUCUCUGGUGAAAUCCCACAGCUUAACUGUGGGAAUUGCUGGAGAUACUAUCAGGCUUGAGGCCGGGAGAGGCUGGAGGUACUCCCAGGGUAGGGGUGAAAUCCUAUAAUCCUGGGAGGACCACCUGUGGCGAAGGCGUCCAGCUGGAACGGACCUGACGGUGAGUAACGAAAGCCAGGGGCGCGAACCGGAUUAGAUACCCGGGUAGUCCUGGCCGUAAACGAUGUGGACUUGGUGUUGGGAUGGCUCCGAGCUGCCCCAGUGCCGAAGGGAAGCUGUUAAGUCCACCGCCUGGGAA